rnacentral:hammerhead_ribozyme from 1 species
GCGCUGCUGAUGACUCCUAUAAUAGGACGAAACGGCCGUCCAGUGC